rnacentral:lncRNA from 1 species
ACGAAUCAAGUCCAAAGUUGAACAAAAAAAAUGUCAUGUUAUAUUUAUAUUAAAAAGACCCUUUCGGGCUCCAUCACAGAAUGUAUUCGGGAUAACAAUUCCAUCAUCAGUACUGCUUAUAAGGUAUACAUGGUUGAGACAGUAAAAAUAUUUAGGUGAAAACUCUUUAAAUGGUGUAAAGUUUAUACAAUCAGAUAACUCGAAGGUUUUUGGGAUCGCUAAACACGAAUACGUCAUCAGAACCGGCUUCCGAGACACCUGUAGCGGGACUCCGUGCACUUUCGUUUCAAGCGAUGCGAUCGCAUUUAUGCAAAUUAGCAGAGUAUAGACGUAGUAGAAGAGGUGUUCCCAAAUUCCCAACAGACUACUAAAUUCCACACGGACGUAAGCAGUGAUUGGUCGUUAUCAUCUGAUUUUGACAUAGAUAGACAUAUGGAUUUGGAUGAAUUUUUGUGGUUAUGUAAGUAUAUUUGUUGUCUGUCUGAUUGACACUUUCUUGUUUUUGAAAAAUUUGUUCAAGAAUGGAAAUAUGAAGAUGAAGACGUGGAAAGAUAUGCAGAAAGUUGAGACAAGUUAUGUAAGGUCUAGAACAGUUCACACAAAGAAACAAGAUGAUUUAUACUAUGAGUAUAGUUUUUAAUCAAUUUCAUGCUAUGAGUGUAACAGAAAUAACAUAAUAAUAUGCAAGGAGUAUAGAUGCUAGGAGAGUAUAUUAUAUUCAUUGAUGUGGAUAUAAGCCCAACUAUAAAAUAAUUAGGACAGAGAAACCUGUUCCAUUCAUUGUCCCUCCAGACUGAUUUGCAAACUGUGAGAUCAAGGACAGCUUUCUAUCAGUUAUGUAUUGGAAAACACAUGCUGAACCAUGCAUCUGUAAAAACUACAAGAAAAAAUGGUUGUAGAGAAAUUAAUGAGGUGCCACCCAAUAAAAUUUCAUGAGAUUCAAGAAUGUGAAGAUACAUGAGCAAUUUCAGAUGAUGCUGCAAGGUGUUUGGGAGAAAAUAAAAA